rnacentral:rRNA from 1 species
GUCUAUGGCCAUGCUACCCUGAACAAGCCCGAUCCCAUCUGAUCUUGGAAGCUAAGCAGGGUCGGGCCUGGUUAGUACUUGGAUGGGAGACUACCUAGGAAGACCAGGUGCUGUAGGUA